rnacentral:rRNA from 1 species
AGAGUUUGAUCCUGGCUCAGAUUGAACGCUGGCGGCACGCCUAACACAUGCAAGUCGAGCGGUAACGGGUUUAGUAGCAAUACUGAAUGCUGACGAGCGGCGGACGGGUGAGUAACACGUAGGAAUCUGCCUCUAAGCGGGGGACAACCAAGGGAAACUUUGGCUAAUACCGCAUGAAAUCGAGAGAUCAAAGCUGCCGU